CCUACGGGUGGCAGCAGUGGGGAAUAUUGGACAAUGGGGGCAACCCUGAUCCAGCCAUGCCGCGUGUGUGAAGAAGGCCCUCGGGUUGUAAAGCACUUUCAGUGAGGAAGAACGCCUGGUGGUUAAUACCCAUCAGGAAAGACAUCACUCACAGAAGAAGCACCGGCUAACUCCGUGCCAGCAGCCGCGGUAAUACGGAGGGUGCGAGCGUUAAUCGGAAUUACUGGGCGUAAAGCGCGCGUAGGUGGCUUGAUAAGCCGGUUGUGAAAGCCCCGGGCUCAACCUGGGAACGGCAUCCGGAACUGUCAAGCUAGAGUGCAGGAGAGGAAGGUAGAAUUCCCGGUGUAGCGGUGAAAUGCGUAGAGAUCGGGAGGAAUACCAGUGGCGAAGGCGGCCUUCUGGACUGACACUGACACUGAGGUGCGAAAGCGUGGGUAGCAAACAGGAUUAGAUACUCGGGUAGUC
rnacentral:rRNA from 1 species